rnacentral:rRNA from 1 species
UACGGAGGGGGCUAGCGUUGUUCGGAAUUACUGGGCGCAAAGCGCACGUAGGCGGCUUUGUAAGUUAGAGGUGAAAGCCCAGGGCUCAACCCUGGAAUUGCCUUUAAGACUGCAUCGCUUGAACAUCGGAGAGGUAAGUGGAAUUCCGAGUGUAGAGGUGAAAUUCGUAGAUAUUCGGAAGAACACCAGUGGCGAAGGCGACUUACUGGACGAUUGUUGACGCUGAGGUGCGAAAGCGUGGGGAGCAAACAGG